rnacentral:rRNA from 1 species
GACGAACGCUGGCGGUGUGCUUAACACAUGCAAGUCGAACGGAAAGGCCCUGCUUUUGUGGGGUGCUCGAGUGGCGAACGGGUGAGUAACACGUGAGUAACCUGCCCUUGACUUUGGGAUAACUUCAGGAAACUGGGGCUAAUACCGGAUAGGAGCUCCUGCUGCAUGGUGGGGGUUGGAAAGUUUCGGCGGUUGGGGAUGGACUCGCGGCUUAUCAGCUUGUUGGUGGGGUAGUGGCUUACCAAGGCUUUGGCGGGUAGCCGGCCUGAGAGGGUGACCGGCCACAUUGGGACUGAGAUACGGCCCAGACUCCUACGGGAGGCAGCAGUGGGGAAUAUUGCACAAUGGGCGGAAGCCUGAUGCAGCAACGCCGCGUGCGGGAUGACGGCCUUCGGGUUGUAAACCGCUUUCGCCUGUGACGAAGCGUGAGUGACGGUAAUGGGUAAAGAAGCACCGGCUAACUACGU